rnacentral:lncRNA from 1 species
UGGUUUUUACGACGAUUUAAUCCUACGUGGACUUUACGACGAUUUUAUGCUGCUUGGACUUUACAAUGAUUUCAUCCUACGUGGACUUUACGACGAUUUCAUCCUGCGUGGACUUUACGACGAUUUCAUCCUACAUGGACUUUACGACGAUUUCAUCAUGCGUGGACUUUACGACGAUUUCAUCCUACGUGGACUUUACGACGAU